GACGAACGCUGGCGGCGUGCUUAACACAUGCAAGUCGAACGGAAAGGCCCUGCUUUUGUGGGGUGCUCGAGUGGCGAACGGGUGAGUAACACGUGAGUAACCUGCCCUUGACUUUGGGAUAACUUCAGGAAACUGGGGCUAAUACCGGAUAGGAGCUCCUGCUGCAUGGGGGGGGUUGGAAAGGAUCGGCGGUUGGGGAUGGACUCGCGGCUUAUCAGCUUGUGGGUGGGGUAGUGGCUUACCAAGGCUUUGACGGGUAGCCGGCCUGAGAGGGUGACCGGCCACAUUGGGACUGAGAUACGGCCCAGACUCCUACGGGAGGCAGCAGUGGGGAAUAUUGCACAAUGGGCGGAAGCCUGAUGCAGCAACGCCGCGUGCGGGAUGACGGCCUUCGGGUUGUAAACCGCUUUCGCCUGUGACGAAGCGUGAGUGACGGUAAUGGGUAAAGAAGCACCGGCUAACUACGUG
rnacentral:rRNA from 1 species